rnacentral:rRNA from 1 species
GGGGAAUCUUCCGCAAUGGGCGAAAGCCUGACGGAGCAAUACCGCGUGAGGGAGGAAGGCUCUUGGGUUGUAAACCUCUUUUCUCAAGGAAGAAUAUUGACGGUACUUGAGGAAUCAGCAUCGGCUAACUCCGUGCCAGCAGCCGCGGUAAUACGGAGGAUGCAAGCGUUAUCCGGAAUGAUUGGGCGUAAAGCGUCCGUAGGUGGCUGUGUGUGUCUAUUGUUAAAGAGUUUGGCUCAACCAAAUAAGGGCGGUAGAAACUACACAGCUAGAGUGCGUUCGGGGCAGAGGGAAUUCCUGGUGUAGCGGUGAAAUGCGUAGAGAUCAGGAAGAACACCGGUGGCGAAAGCGCUCUGCUAGGCCGCAACUGACACUGAGGGACGAAAGCUAGG